ensembl:snoRNA small nucleolar RNA SNORA19
GUGCACAUUUCAUUGACCUGCUUUCUGGUAUAUGUGAGCAGUGUUAUUUCUUAUGUGCUAUACAAAUGGUUGGAGCUUAAUUAGCAGUAUAACUAAGUAGUAAUGCUGCCAGUCUCCUUCCGACAAAC